UGGGGAAUAUUGCACAAUGGGCGAAAGCCUGAUGCAGCGACGCCGCGUGAGGGAUGACGGCCUUCGGAUUGUAAACCUCUUUCAGCAGGGACGAAGCGCAAGUGACGGUACCUGCAGACGAAGCACCGGCUAACUACGUGCCAGCAGCCGCGGAAAUACGUAGAGUGCAAGCGUUGUCCGGAAUUACUGGGCGUAAAGAGUUCGUAGGCGGUUUGGCGCGUCGUUUGUGAAAACCAGCAGCUCGACUGCUGGCUGGCAGGCGAUACGGGCAGGCUUGAGUUCUGGAGGGGAGACUGGAAUUGCUGGUGUAGGGGUGAAAUGGGCAGAUAUCAGGAGGAAAACCGGUGGCGAAGGCGGGUCUCUGGGCAGUAACUGACGCUGAGGAACGAAAGCGUGGGUAGCGAAGAGG
rnacentral:rRNA from 1 species